GUCCUGAUGGUCUAGUGGAUAAGAUUUGGUACUUUCAUUACUGAAGUCUGGGUUCAAUUCCCAGUCAGGGAA
rnacentral:tRNA from 1 species